UGACCUCAAAUCAGGUAGGACUACCCGCUGAACUUAAGCAUAUCAAUAAGCGGAGGAAAAGAAACUAACAAGGAUUCCCCUAGUAACUGCGAGUGAAGAGGGAAAAGCUCAAAUUUAAAAUCUGGCAGUCUCUGAUUGUCCGAGUUGUAAUUUANAGAAGUGUUACCCGUGCUGGACCGUGUACCAG
rnacentral:rRNA from 1 species